CCUCAACCGCGUGAGGGAUAGCAGUGAAAAUCCUUUAUGUUUUUCCUUUAAAAACAUAAAGAUUGCAACGAAUAGCCCGACCCGUA
rnacentral:sRNA from 2 species